GGGCCCUUAGCGCAGUGGUUAGCGCAGAAGACUCAUAAUCUUUUGGUCGUAGGUUCGAAUCCUACAGGGCCCACCA
rnacentral:tRNA from 1 species